rnacentral:rRNA from 1 species
GUGGGGAAUCUUAGACAAUGGGGGAAACCCUGAUCUAGCCAUGCCGCGUGAGCGAUGAAGGCCUUAGGGUUGUAAAGCUCUUUCAGCUGGGAAGAUAAUGACGGUACCAGCAGAAGAAGCCCCGGCUAACUCCGUGCCAGCAGCCGCGGUAAUACGGAGGGGGCUAGCGUUGUUCGGAAUUACUGGGCGUAAAGCGCGCGUAGGCGGACCAGAAAGUUGGAGGUGAAAUCCCAGGGCUCAACCUUGGAACUGCCUUCAAAACUCCUGGUCUGGAGUUCGAGAGAGGUGAGUGGAAUUCCGAGGGUAGAGGUGAAAUUCGUAGAUAUUCGGAGGAACACCAGUGGCGAAGGCGGCUCACUGGCUCGAUACUGACGCUGAGGUGCGAAAGCGUGGGGAGCAAACAGGAUUAGAAACCCCAGUAGUCC